UAAAAAGUCAUGCAAUUAUCUUCUGCUGUUUCAGAAAAGUGAUUCAUAUGUUCUCCACAGCUGAAGGCCUGCUGACCCAGGGUGAUAAGAUCACUGCUGAUGGACUUCAGGAGGUGUUUGAGACCGAUGUCUUUGGCCAUUUUAUCCUGAUUCGGGAACUGGAGCCUCUCCUCUGUCACAGUGACAAUCCAUCUCAGCUCAUCUGGACAUCAUCUCGCAAUGCAAGGAAAUCUAAUUUCAGCCUCGAGGACUUCCAGCACAGCAAAGGCAAGGAACCCUACAGCUCUUCCAAAUAUGCCACUGACCUUUUGAGUGUGGCUUUGAACAGGAACUUUCAACCAGCAGCUUCGCUUUUUUGCAAAUGCAUUCACUUUGACACCAUAUAAUGGAACAGAAGCUCUGGUAUGGCUUUUCCACCAAAAGCCUGAAUCUGUCAAUCCUCUGAUCAAAUAUCUGAGUGCCACCACUGGCUUUGGAAGAAAUUACAUUAUGACCCAGAAGAUGGACCUAGAUGAAGACACUGCUGAAAAAUUUUAUCAAAAGUUACUGGAACUGGAAAAGCACAUUAGGGUCACUAUUCAAAAAACAGAUAAUCAGGCCAGGCUCAGUGGCUCAUGCCUAUAAUUCCAGCACUUUGGGAGGCCAAGGCAGAAGGAUCACUUGAGACCAGGAGUUCGAGACCAGCCUGAGAAACAUAGUGAGCCCUUGUCUCUACAAAAAGAAAUAAAAAUAAUAGCUGGGUGUGGUGGCAUGCGCAUGUAGUCCCAACUACUCAGGAGGAUGAGGUGGGGGGAUCUCUUGAGGCUGGGAGGCGGAGGUUGCAGUGAGCUGAGAUUGUGCCACUGCACUCCAGCCUGGGUGACAGCGAGACCCUGUCUCAAAACAUAUAUAUAUUUAAUAUAUAUGUAAAGCCAGAGCUGACAAUGACACUCUGGAACAUUGCAUACCUUCUGUACAUUCUGGGGUACAUGGAUUUCUACUGAGUUGGAUAAUAUGCAUUUGUAAUAAACUAUGAACUAUGA